GGGAAUUAGGUGGUUGUGCUGCUGUUUGCCAUUUGAGGACAUCAGCAAAAUGAAGGGUCGUGUGAGAUGGGAUGCGGCUAAUUUGGAGGAUAUUGAAGCAAAUAAGCUUGUGAGACA